rnacentral:rRNA from 1 species
AUUGAACGCUGGCGGUAUGCUUAACACAUGCAAGUCGAACGGUAACGGUCCUUCGGGAGCCGACGAGUGGCGGACGGGUGCGUAACGCGUAGGAAUCUGCCUCGUAGUGGGGGACAACGUGGGGAAACUCACGCUAAUACCGCAUACGCCCUGAGGGGGAAAGCGGGGGACCUUUUAGGCCUCGCGCUAUGAGAUGAGCCUGCGUGGGAUUAGCUAGUUGGUAGGGUAAAGGCCUACCAAGGCGACGAUCCCUAGCUGGUCUGAGAGGACGAUCAGCCACACUGGGACUGAGACACGGCCCAGACUCCUACGGGAGGCAGCAGUGGGGAAUAUUGGACAAUGGGCGGAAGCCUGAUCCAGCAAUACCGCGUGUGUGAAGAAGGCCUGAGGGUUGUAAAGCACUUUCACUGGGGAGGAAGAUCGGUUGGUUAAGAGCUGAUCGUGUGACAUUACCCAGACAAGAAGCACCGGCUAACUCCGUGCCAGCCGCCGCGGUAACAC